rnacentral:rRNA from 1 species
UUCCGGUUGAUCCUGCCGGACCCGACUGCUAUCAGAGUGGGACUAAGCCAUGCGAGUCAACAUAGCAAUAUGUGGCAUACGGCUCAGUAACACGUAGUCAACAUGCCCAGGGGACGUGGAUAACCUCGGGAAACUGAGGAUAAACCGCGAUAGGUCAUCACUUCUGGAAUGGGUAAUGACUUAAAUCUAUAUGGCCCCUGGAUUGGACUGCGGCCGAUCAGGCUGUUGGUGAGGUAAUGGCCCACCAAACCUGUAACCGGUACGGGCUCUGAGAGGAGGAGCCCGGAGAUGGGCACUGAGACAAGGGCCCAGGCCCUAUGGGGCGCAGCAGGCGCGAAACCUCUGCAAUAGGCGAAAGCUUGACAGGGUUACUCUGAGUGAUUUCCGUUAAGGAGAUCUUUUGGCACCUCUAAAAAUGGUGCAGAAUAAGGGGUGGGCAAGUCUGGUGUCAGCCGCCGCGGUAAUACCAGCACCCCGAGUGGUCGGGACGUUUAUUGGGCCUAAAGCAUCCGUAGCCGGUUCUACAAGUCUUCCGUUAAAUCCACCUGCUUAACGGAUGGGCUGCGGAAGAUACUAUAGAGCUAGGAGGCGGGAGAGGCAAGCGGUACUCGAUGGGUAGGGGUAAAAUCCGUUGAUCCAUUGAAGACCACCAGUGGCGAAGGCGGCUUGCCAGAACGCGCUCGACGGUGAGGGAUGAAAGCUGGGGGAGCAAACCGGAUUAGAUACCCGGGUAGUCCCAG